ensembl:antisense Gm20636 predicted gene 20636
CUGGGCCCACAGGCUGACAGAGGGAUGGUGUGCUGCACAGAGGAGGACCUGUGAUGGGGAUUCAAGAAGGGACCUCAUGGGCCACUGCCUAGCGGAGCCCAGAGAGUCGUGUGCUGCAGUAUUGCCGUGACUGGGGCCAGGUUCUCCCUCCACCCACGUGUCCCUUACCUGAGAGCACGCUCUGGAUGCGGUCAUAAUGCAAGAAGUUGUAUGUGCUGCUGGUGAGGCUAGCCUCGUCUCUGGGCAGCGUCUCCUUCAGGUGGACUUCCAGCCCAUUCAGCGACGCCAGGCUGCUGUGGUACUGCAGAGGGGCCAGGAGUGGGUCACAGGCCGGCACACUUAGUUGAAAGGACUUCCCUAGGUGGAGCUGACUGGCUUGGAACUCACUACGAAGACCAGGCCGGUCUAACUGUGCAAAGCCUUCUGCCUCUGCCUCCUGACUGCUUGGAUUAUAGGUGUGCACCACCCUGCCCCAGCCCCAUCUCUUCAUGUGUUAUGUGGUGUACAUGCAGCUCAGAGGAGGACAUCAGACCCCUUGACAAACACCCCCUGCUGUUACAGGCAGCUGUGAGCUGUCCACUGCACUCAGGGCCUGGGAACAUCAGCAAGCGCUCUGAACCCCUGAGCCAUCUCUCCAACUCUGGGAUUGUCUGCUUUAGCAAUAACGGUGGCCUGGUGUUCCAGUGUUUCCCAACACCAACA